rnacentral:rRNA from 1 species
AGUGGGUUUUGCCAGAAGUAGUUAGCCUAACCGCAAGGAGGGCGAUUACCACGGCAGGGUUCAUGACUGGGGUGAAGUCGUAACAAGGUAGCCGUAUCGGAAGGUGCGGCUGGAUCACCUCCUUUCAAG